rnacentral:rRNA from 1 species
AGUGAACGCUGGCGGUAGGCCUAACACAUGCAAGUCGAACGGCAGCACAGUAAGAGCUUGCUCUUACGGGUGGCGAGUGGCGGACGGGUGAGGAAUACAUCGGAAUCUACUUUUUCGUGGGGGAUAACGUAGGGAAACUUACGCUAAUACCGCAUACGACCUACGGGUGAAAGCAGGGGAUCUUCGGACCUUGCGCGAUUGAAUGAGCCGAUGUCGGAUUAGCUAGUUGGCGGGGUAAAGGCCCACCAAGGCGACGAUCCGUAGCUGGUCUGAGAGGAUGAUCAGCCACACUGGAACUGAGACACGGUCCAGACUCCUACGGGAGGCAGCAGUGGGGAAUAUUGGACAAUGGGCGCAAGCCUGAUCCGGCCAUACCGCGUGGGUGAAGAAGGCCUUCGGGUUGUAAAGCCCUUUUGUUGGGAAGGAAAAGCAGCAGGUUAAUACCCCGCUGUUCUGACGGUACCCAAAGAAUAAGCACCGGCUAACUUCGUG